rnacentral:rRNA from 1 species
GACGAACGCUGGCGGCGUGCUUGACACAUGCGAGUCGAACGGUGAAGCGCCUUCCUUUUUGGUGGGUGUGGAUGAGUGGCGAACGGGUGAGUAACACGUGAGUAACCUGCCCCCUUCUUCUGGAUAACCGCAUGAAAGUGUGGCUAAUACGGGAUAUUCUGGGUCUGUCGCAUGAUGGGUCUGGGAAAGAUAUUGUUUCGGUGGGGGAUGGGCUCGCGGCCUAUCAGCUUGUUGGUGGGGUGAUGGCCUACCAAGGCGGUGACGGGUAGCCGGCCUGAGAGGGUGGACGGUCACACUGGGACGGAGACACGGCCCAGACUCCUACGGGAGGCAGCAGUGGGGAAUAUUGCACAAUGGGCGCAAGCCUGAUGCAGCGACGCCGCGUGAGGGAUGGAGGCCUUCGGGUUGUGAACCUCUUUCGCCAGUGAAGCAGGCCUGCCUCGUUUGUGGGUGGGUUGACGGUAGCUGGAUAAGAAGCGCCGGCUAACUACGUG